GUGGCAGUACCUCAGUGGUGGAGUUCUCGCUUCAUAUGCGGGAAGACCUGGGUUCGAUUCCCGGCUGCUUACC
rnacentral:tRNA from 1 species